GGGGAAUUUUCCGCAAUGGGCGCAAGCCUGACGGAGCAACGCCGCGUGAGGGAUGAAGGCCUCUGGGCUGUAAACCUCUUUUCUCAAGGAAGAAGAUCUGACGGUACUUGAGGAAUAAGCCACGGCUAAUUCCGUGCCAGCUGCCGCGGUAAUACGGGAGUGGCAAGCGUUAUCCGGAAUUAUUGGGCGUAAAGCGUCCGCAGGCGGCCUUGAAAGUCUGUUGUUAAAGCGUGGAGCUUAACUCCAUUUCAGCAAUGGAAACUACAAGGCUAGAGUGUGGUAGGAGCAGAGGGGAUUCCCGGUGUAGCGGUGAAAUGCGUAGAUAUCGGGAAGAACACUAGUGGCGAAGGCGCUCUGCUGGGCCAUAACUGACGCUCAUGGACGAAAGCCAGGGGAGCGAAAGGGAUUAGAUACCCCAGUAGUC
rnacentral:rRNA from 1 species